ACACUCACAUAUAUUUGUAUAUCCAUACAUACACGCACACACAAACACACACACCCAUAUACAAAUAUGUAUGUAUAGUUACAUAUACAUGUACUUUUUUAUUUUACGUACUAGAUUUCAGUUAUAUCGUUUACCUGAGUACAAAUUUCGACAAUGUAGACAUUGCUUUUCAUCCAUCAGGGCCAGUAGAAUAAUACCAGUUGAGCAGUGUGAUUCAUGUUAUAGACUAGCCUCAAACUGAAAAUUUCAGGCAUUCUGCCUAAUAUAGAAGGAUCAUCAAGUGAUACACUGCACAAAUAAACUGUUCAGCCGCAUUUCUAAGUUAAGGUAUAAACUUCGUUUCAUUCGUCAUCCUUAUUUAUGAAAUUCUGUGUAAGUAAUUGCUUUAUUUCUAUGACCCAACACACUGUUCACCUAAUAUUUAAUUGAUUCUAAAAAGAGGACACACGAGUGAAUGUCUGCGAAAAUGAAACAAUUGAAGAAGUAGUUGAAUAUUAUGGUUUAUUUAUUUAUAACUAUACGUAAUAUAUAUUCCAGUGUAUCGAUAUUUCGAUGUACUCAGUUUAUAUUACAAUUUAAUAUUUUAUUAUGAGAUUGAAUAUAACAGUAAUUCGAGAUAAAAUAAAACAGUUUUAAUGUCCUUUGUUAGGAACUCCAUAUUUUUAGUGACUGCGAUAUUAUAAGUUCAUUUAUUCUUAUUAAUUGUUUUUGUUAUUUUUGUAUUCUUUCUAAACAUAUAACCUAAUUGUCUGAAAUAAUUGAAAUUUACACACAACAAUGUAAAUUGUAAUACAUUUUGACUCAACAAAGUAAAAUGUUUCUUAUUUUUAAUCUUAAUAAAUUCUCAAAUAUUUUUCUACAAUUGUCUUUAAAAUCAAUUUAGUAGUGUUGAAUACAUAAUCAUUUAAACACACACACGCGCGCGCGCGCAUAUUUUUACCUUUUUUACUCGUUUCAGGCAUGCAACUGGAUCCGUGCUGGUGCAUCACCGAGGAAUAUACAUCCGAAAUAUGAGAAAAAGUAUUAAACAUUCCAAAGAGUUCUAGUAUGACUUAACAAU